rnacentral:misc_RNA from 1 species
CAUCAUCCAACUCUGGGUGAUUUUGAAUUACAGCAUUUGCCAGUGGGUGCAAAUGAUACUGAACUUGAAGAGCGUAUAAUCCAGCACUUAGCUGCUGCUGCUGCAAUGGGACGGCGUCACAUUGCUAGACGGGAAGGUCAGAGGAACAGAUCAUCAGCUCAAGGUCGUCCACAGUUUUUAGUAUUCUCAAGUCAUCCUAAUGCACCAGCUGGACAAAUUUCUUCCUCUCCAGCUCAGAGAGAAGGUGAACCUGUUGCUACAAUCUCAAUACCCACUCUAUCAUCCCUUCCUGCGAAUGUUCAGGAAGAAUCUUUACAGCCAAUUACACCGCAAUCAUCUGAUGUCCAAGCUGAGCCCGCAUCUGCUUCUUCUUCUGGAUCUAGUAUUCUUGCUUCCAGUGAACGGGAAAAUUUAUUGAACAAUAGGAGGUCUCCUAAUCAGUCUUCC